GUGGACUUAAAGAUUAUAGAAGAACUACCUGGGAAGGUAGGCCAAAGAGAGUAAUAGCCUCGUAUUCGAAAUAGUCUUUAUACCUAGCAGUAUCCUGAGUACGGCGAGACACGAGAAAUCUCGUCGGAAUCUGGGAGGACCAUCUCCCAACCCUAAAUACUCUCUAGUGACCGAUAGUGAACCAGUACCGUGAGGGAAAGGUGAAAAGCACCCCGGGAGGGGAGUGAAAUAGAACCUGAAACCGUGUGCCUACAACAAGUUCGAGCCCGUUAAUGGGUGAGAGCGUGCCUUUUGUAGAAUGAACCGGCGAGUUACGAUAUGAUGCGAGGUUAAGUUGAAGAGACGGAGCCGUAGGGAAACCGAGUCUUAAUAGGGCGCAUUAGUAUCAUGUCGUAGACCCGAAACCAUGUGACCUACCCAUGAGCAGGUUGAAGGUGAGGUAAAACUCACUGGAGGACCGAACCAGGGCACGUUGAAAAGUGCUUGGAUGACUUGUGGGUAGCGGAGAAAUUCCAAACGAACUUGGAGAUAGCUGGUUCUCUCCGAAAUAGCUUUAGGGCUAGCGUCGAUGUUAAGUCUCUUGGAGGUAGAGCACUGUUUGGGUGAGGGGUCCAUCCCGGAUUACCAAUCUCAGAUAAACUCCGAAUGCCAAUGAGAUAUAAUCGGCAGUCAGACUGCGAGUGCUAAGAUCCGUAGUCGAAAGGGAAACAGCCCAGACCACCAGCUAAGGUCCCAAAAUAUAUGUUAAGUGGAAAAGGAUGUGGGGUUGCACAGACAACUAGGAUGUUAGCUUAGAAGCAGCUAUUCAUUCAAAGAGUGCGUAAUAGCUCACUAGUCGAGUGACCCUGCGCCGAAAAUGUACCGGGGCUAAAACAUAUUACCGAAGCUGUGGAUACCUUUAUAGGUAUGGUAGGAGAGCGUUCUAUGUGCGAAGAAGGUGUACCGUGAGGAGUGCUGGAGCGCAUAGAAGUGAGAAUGCCGGUAUGAGUAGCGAAAGACAGGUGAGAAUCCUGUCCACCGUAAGACUAAGGUUUCCAGGGGAAGGCUCGUCCGCCCUGGGUUAGUCGGGACCUAAGGAGAGACCGAAAGGUGUAUCCGAUGGACAACAGGUUGAUAUUCCUGUACUAGAGUAUAUAGUGAUGGAGGGACGCAGUAGGCUAACUAAACCAGACGAUUGGAAGUGUCUGGCCAAGCAGUGAGGUGUGAUAUGAGUCAAAUGCUUAUAUCUUUAACAUUGAGCUGUGAUGGGGAGCGAAGUUUAGUAGCGAAGUUAGUGAUGUCACACUGCCGAGAAAAGCUUCUAGCGUUAAUUAUACUCUACCCGUACCGCAAACCGACACAGGUAGUCGAGGCGAGUAGCCUCAGGUGAGCGAGAGAACUCUCGUUAAGGAACUCGGCAAAAUGGCCCCGUAACUUCGGGAGAAGGGGCGCUGACUGAUGGUCAGCCGCAGUGAAUAGGCCCAAGCAACUGUUUAUCAAAAACACAGCUCUCUGCUAAAUCGUAAGAUGAUGUAUAGGGGGUGACGCCUGCCCGGUGCUGGAAGGUUAAGAGGAGUGCUUAGCGUAAGCGAAGGCAUGAAUUGAAGCCCCAGUAAACGGCGGCCGUAACUAUAACGGUCCUAAGGUAGCGAAAUUCCUUGUCGGGUAAGUUCCGACCCGCACGAAAGGCGUAAUGAUUUGGGCACUGUCUCAACGAGAGACUCGGUGAAAUUUUAGUACCUGUGAAGAUGCAGGUUACCCGCGACAGGACGGAAAGACCCCAUGGAGCUUUACUGCAGUUUGAUAUUGAGUAUCUGUACCACAUGUACAGGAUAGGUAGGAGCCUAUGACCUCGGGACGCCAGUUUCGAGUGAGGCGUUGUUGGGAUACUACCCUUGUGUUAUGGCUACUCUAACCCAGAUAGGUUAUCCCUAUCGGAGACAGUGUCUGACGGGCAGUUUGACUGGGGCGGUCGCCUCCUAAAAGGUAACGGAGGCGCCCAAAGGUUCCCUCAGAAUGGUUGGAAAUCAUUCGCAGAGUGUAAAGG
rnacentral:rRNA from 1 species